UCAGUAACACGUAGUCAACAUGCCCAGGGGACGUGGAUAACCUCGGGAAACUGAGGAUAAACCGCGAUAAGUCACUACUUCUGGAAUGGGUAAUGACUCAAACCUAUAUGGCCCCUGGAUUGGACUGCGGCCGAUCAGGCUGUUGGUGAGGUAAUGGCCCACCAAACCUGUAACCGGUACGGGCUCUGAGAGGAGGAGCCCGGAGAUGGGCACUGAGACAAGGGCCCAGGCCCUAUGGGGCGCAGCAGGCGCGAAACCUCUGCAAUAGGCGAAAGCUUGACAGGGUUACUCUGAGUGAUUUCCGUUAAGGAGAUCUUUUGGCACCUCUAAAAAUGGUGCAGAAUAAGGGGUGGGCAAGUCUGGUGCCAGCC
rnacentral:rRNA from 1 species